rnacentral:rRNA from 1 species
UACAGAGGUCCCGAGCGUUGUUCGGAUUCAUUGGGCGUAAAGGGUGCGUAGGUGGCGCCGUAAGUGGGGUGUGAAAUCCCGGGGCUUAACCCCGGGACUGCAUUCCAUACUGCGGUGCUUGAGGACUGGAGAGGAGACUGGAAUUUACGGUGUAGCAGUGAAAUGCGUAGAGAUCGUAAGGAAGACCAGUGGCGAAGGCGGGUCUCUGGACAGUUCCUGACACUGAGGCACGAAGGCCAGGG